rnacentral:misc_RNA from 1 species
GAUGAAGAACGCAUCGAAAUGCGAUAAGUAAUGUGAAUUGCAGAAUUCAGUGAAUCAUCGAAUCUUUGAACGCACAUUGCGCCCCCCAGUAUUCUGGCGGGCAUGCCUGUUCGAGCGUCAUUUCAACCAUCAAGCCCUGCUUGUGUUGGGGUCCUGCGGCUGCCCGCAGGCCCUGAAAACCAGUGGCGGGCUCGCUAGUCACACCGAGCGCAGUAGCACAUCUCGCUCAGGGCGUGCGGCGGGCUCCAGCCGUUAAAGCACCCACCUUUCGCAAGGUUGACCUCGGAUCAGGUAGGAAUACCCGCUGAACUUAAGCAUAUCAAUAAGCGGAGGA